CUUCCUGGAGUAAUGGGGGUACGCUAUAGCGACACACGUGUGUUUGGAACUUAGGAAAAGACGACUUAACAGCGGCUCUAUAUCCAGUCUCUGCGUCUACUACAACCUCAUAAACAAAGAUGAAGAAGAAGCAGAAACAGCUGCCGAGCUCAAAGAAGAAAGGGUUA